CAAUAUCAGGACUAUUCACAGCAUUCACACUCGUGUGCACGACAUCCACAGAGGUCUAUCAACUGCUAGCUGUGGUUUCAGAAGUCAUGGAUUGUGAGCCUGGUCGGGGAGACAGUGGAAGCGCCUGCAAACCAAGUAAUAACCCCCACACCAGUAUUGACUAUAAUAUUUACAUUGAAAUGGAUGUAGUCACACGUUUUUACCACUCAAAAAUACAACCUUCAAUAGAUAUCCAUGGUAGUGCAGUCCAUGCAAGGCUGUGGUCUUUUUUGCUUUCACUGCAUUUCUGUUCCAAAAAAAUCAACAGUUUUCCCAUGGAACACUAACUCUUCAUGUCUUUGAAUAAGUGAUGAUAUAGUUAUUUAUGUGGUUUGCUUAUCAGAAUUGUAAUUCUUACAAAACAGGAGUACUGUAGCACAGACACAGAAAGUAUUGUUUAACGUGCAUACUGAAUGGUACAGUCCUGUCAGAACACAACACCUGCUGGCAGCUAUGUGUAAUGUUUACCACAUGAAUAACACCAAUCUUUCAAUUAUUUUGCACAACCAAUCCAACCAAUCCUAAACCUGAAGAGGCCAUUACUGAUAUAACCAGUCAAAACACAGUCGUUGCAUUUACAGCCAAACUACAAGUCCACCACAGCUAUCCAAAGCACGAGGGGGUCCUGAGGUUUACUGAUGUACUAAUCAACAAAGGAGGGGGUUACAGUCCUGACACUGGCAUCUUCACCUGCCCUCA